rnacentral:rRNA from 1 species
CCUACGGGCGGCAGCAGUGAGGAAUAUUGGUCAAUGGGCGCGAGCCUGAACCAGCCAAGUCGCGUGAGGGAAGACGGUCCUAUGGAUUGUAAACCUCUUUUGUCGGGGAGCAAAAGACGCCACGCGUGGCGUUCCGAGAGUACCCGAAGAAAAAGCAUCGGCCAACUCCGUGCCAGCAGCCGCGGUAAUACGGGGGAUGCGAGCGUUAUCCGGAUUUAUUGGGUUUAAAGGGUGCGCAGGCGGAAGAUCAAGUCAGCGGUAAAAUUGAGGGGCUCAACCUCUUCGAGCCGUUGAAACUGGUAUUCUUGAGUGAGCGAGAGGUAUGCGGAAUGCGUGGUGUAGCGGUGAAAUGCGUAGAUAUCACGCAGAACUCCGAUUGCGAAGGCAGCAUACCGGCGCUCAACUGACGCUGAUGCACGAAAGUGUGGGUAUCGAACAGGAUUAGAUACCCGUGUAGUC